UACGAGGGGAGCAAGCGUUGUUCGGAUUUACUGGGCGUAAAGGGCGCGUAGGCGGUCGUGACAAGUCACUUGUGAAAUCUCCGGGCUUAACUCGGAACGGUCAAGUGAUACUGUCGGACUAGAGUACAGAAGGGGCAACUGGAAUUCUCGGUGUAGCGGUGAAAUGCGUAGAUAUCAGGAGGAACACCUGCGGUGUAGACGGCUUUCUGGACCAUUGCUGACGCUGAGACACGAAAGCGUGGGUAGCAAACAGG
rnacentral:rRNA from 1 species